CAAUAGCGUAUAUUGAAGUUGUUGCGGUUAAAAAGCUCGUCGUUGGAUUUCUGUUGAGGUCGAACAGUGCCGCCCUAUGGGUGCACAACUGGCUCGGCUUCGGCAUCUUCUUGGAGAGCGCAUCUGCACUUAACUGUGUGGAUCGUACUUCAAGUCAGUUACUUUGAGGAAUUGUGAGUGUUUCAAGCAGGCUUACGCCGUUGAAUCCGUUAGCAUGGAAUAAUAGGAUAGGACCUCGGUUCUAUUUUGUUGGUUUUGAGAGCUGGGGCAGCGAUUGAUAGGGACGGAUGGGGGCGUCCGAACUUUACUGUCAGAGGUGAAAUUCUUAGAUCGGUCAAAGGCGAACUACUGCGAACGCAUUCGCCAAGAAUGUUUUCUUUAA
rnacentral:rRNA from 1 species